rnacentral:rRNA from 1 species
UACGGGGGGGGCAAGCGUUGUUCGGAAUUACUGGGCGUAAAGGGCUCGUAGGCGGCCAACUAAGUCGGAUGUGAAAUCCCCAGGCUUAACCUGGGAACUGCAUCCGAUACUGGAUGGCUUGAAUCCGGGAGAGGGAUGCGGAAUUCCAGGUGUAGUGGUGAAAUGCGUAGAUAUCGGGAGGAACACCAGUGGCGAAGGCGACUACCUGGCCUGUUCUUGACGCUGAGGCGCGAAAGCUAGGGGAGCAAACGGG